UAGCAUAAUCAUUUGUUUUUUAAUUGAAAACUAGUAUGAAUGGUUAAACAAUGAAAAUUUUCUUAAUUUUUAAAUAAGUAAUUUGUAUUUUAAGUAAAAAUACUUAAAUAAAUAUGAGGGACGAUAAGACCCUAAAAGCUUCAUUUUUAAUGUGUUUGUAUAAAAUUUAUGUUAUAUAAAAAUACAUACAAAUAUAAAAAUUAGCUGGGGUAGUUAUUUUAAAAAAAUUAAAAUUUAUUAUUACAUUUAAUAUUAAUGGUAAAAGAUCCUUUAUAUAAGGAAAAUUGGUUAUAGUUACUUUAGGGAUAACAGCGUUAUAUUUUUGGAGAGAUCUUAUCUAUAAAAAUGAUUGCGACCUCGAUGUUGAAUUAAAAUUACUUUAUGGGGUAGAAAACAUAAAAAGUGGGUUUGUUCAACCUUUAAAUUUUUACAUGAUUU
rnacentral:rRNA from 1 species